rnacentral:rRNA from 1 species
CUGUAUGAAGUCGGAAUUGCUAGUAAUCGCGGAUCAGCAUGCCGCGGUGAAUACGUUCCCGGGCCUUGUACACACCGCCCGUCACACCAUGAGAGCCGGUAAUACCCGAAGUCAGUAGCCUAACCGCAAGGAGGGCGCUGCCGAAGGUAGGAUUGGCGAUUGGGUGAAGUCGUAACAAGGUAUC